GUUUGAUCCUGGCUCAGGACGAACGCUGGCGGCAUGCUUAACACAUGCAAGUCGAACGGGGCACCCAUGACUGAGGAUUCGUCCAAAUGAUUGGAAUGCCUAGUGGCGGACGGGUGAGUAACGCGUGAGCAACCUGCCUCGGAGUGGGGGACAACAGUUGGAAACGACUGCUAAUACCGCAUGACGCAUUUGGGGGGCAUCCCUUGAAUGCCAAAGAUUUAUCGCUCCGAGAUGGGCUCGCGUCUGAUUAGCUAGUUGGUGAGGUAACGGCCCACCAAGGCGACGAUCAGUAGCCGGACUGAGAGGUUGGCCGGCCACAUUGGGACUGAGAUACGGCCCAGACUCCUACGGGAGGCAGCAGUGGGGAAUAUUGGGCAAUGGGCGCAAGCCUGACCCAGCAAUGCCGCGUGAAGGAAGAAGGCUUUCGGGUUGUAAACUUCUUUUGUCAGGGAACAGUAGAAGAGGGUACCUGACGAAUAAGCUCCGGCUAACUACGUGCC
rnacentral:rRNA from 1 species